rnacentral:rRNA from 1 species
CCCUUAGAUGCUCUGGGCCGCACGCGCGCUACACCGGUCGAUGCAACGAGUUUCUUUCCUUGGCCGACAGGCCUGGGCAAUCUUUGAACAUCGAUCGUGAUCGGGAUAGAUUCUUGUAAUUUUUGAUCUUAAACGAGGAAUUCCUAGUAAACGCAAGUCAUCAGCUUGCAUUGAUUACGUCCCUGCCCUUUGUACACACCGCCCGUCGCACCUACCGAUUGAAUGGUCCGGUGAAAUCUCCGGACUGGCGUGAGUCGGAGCAAUCUGACAAACGCCGGAAAGUUGAUUAAACCUUACCAUUUAGAGGAAGGUGAAGUCGUAACA